rnacentral:rRNA from 1 species
GUGUCAGCCGCCGCGGUAAUACGGAGGUGGCAAGCGUUGUUCGGAAUUAUUGGGCGUAAAGGGCGCGUAGGCGGCUUUGCAAGUCAGAUGUGAAAGCCCCGGGCUUAACUCGGGAAUUGCAUCUGAAACUGCUUAGCUUGAGUCCUGGAGGGGGUAGUGGAAUUCCCAGUGUAGCGGUGAAAUGCGUAGAUAUUGGGAGGAACACCUGCGGCGAAGGCGGCUACCUGGACAGUGACUGACGCUGAGGCGCGAAAGCUAGGGGAGCGAACGGGAUUAGAAACCCUCGUAGUCC